UUGCUAUGAUGAUGCUUUAAAUGGUUGAUGGCGUUCAUGGAAUGCUUGAUGAAAAGAUCGACAGCCAUGUCGAUCCUGAGCGGUUACCUGAGCAA